CAAUCCCCGCUGCCGUUGCCCUCUCUCUCAACUUUUGCGGACCUCGAGCCCAGCACCAUGAGUGCACUCCUGCAUCAUUUCUCCAGAAACUGAAACCCUAGCUUCACCUCAGUCAAAAACUUGAGACCCUUCCCAUUCACUUUUUAGCCGUGCCACCAUAGCCAUUUUGUCCAAAAUCGUAUCUCAUCUUCAAGCUACAACCUGUAACCCCCAAACUUCGAAUUUGAGAAAUGAAACCCAGAACUUCGAAGCCAUAUCCGCAGCCCCAUCUCACCGAUUCUCCAAAAAAAUAAUAAAAUAAUAAUAAUAAUAAUAAUAAUAAAAAGAGUACACGAUCUUUCAUUGGUUCACUAUAUGUCUCAGUGCUUUAUUUAUUCUGAAAAAGACUCUGGACUCCUCAUGCAUGUGAGUUGGGUUUGGUGCAGAUCCCAUUCGUGGUUAGAAGAAGAUGCGCAGAGACAGAAUUGGCACGGGUGCACAAAUCCAAAGGGAAUCAAGCAGCAUACAUCUCAAAAUCCUCACGGUCAGAAUUACAGAUUUGUGCUAGGAGUUGAAUCAGUUUCUCUGCAUCCAAAUGGAUCCUGACAGUUUCCAUUAUACUCAUGUAUUUUUUUCUCUUUUGUAUGCAUGCUGCCCUGAAUAAAUGUGAUGAAUCUUGAGCUAAACGUUGCACCAAAUGGAUCCUGUGCUCCCUUCUGUGUUGUUUGGAUCCCACCCCCAAACUUGUAUGUAAUAAUAUUUUAAAUAUAAUGCGAGGGAGUGGUUGAGUGAGAUGGAGUGCCAAGCAAUGCAAAAAGGGCUUCAUCACCAACCCCACUGUAAGUAUUUUUGGAACUUUUUCUGCAUUGGAUUAAUUUCUGCACUUUGCGUUGAUGAUGAAUAUUGUCCUCACACUUUCACACCCAUCAAAGAAGAAUCAAAGUAAGACACAAUUAUGUUUUUGUCAUGAACAUCAAAACAUGAAUGUUGUUUUCAAAUAUCAAAUGCAAAAACCAUGAAUAAAUGUGAUAUUUCACAAAUGCGAGAUUUUUGUGAUCAAACAUCAAAUGAAUAUGAAGUAAUAAUAAAUGUGUAGUUAAUAAUCACAAACAUCAAAUGAAUAUGGAUGAAUAAUAUGAACAAGCCAAAUGGUAGUUAUAACAGGUUAUGGGGUUAGGAUUUCCUCCCAUCACCUGCUGAUUUCGGUAAAAUAAUGCAAGAACUACACACAAGGAGCUACCAAUCAUUAGCCCCAAUUGCUCACCAACAUUAAAUUCACCAUUAACCAACUUUGUUUUAGCAAGAAAUACUAUCAAAACAAAUAUUAUGCCCACAACCAUAUCGGCAACCCCAAGCACAGUUGUAGAUUUGGUGAUCCAAAUAAAUGAAAUGAAAAGGGCAAAAAAUCAUGCAAGAAUCCAAAGCCAAUAGUAUAAAUCCAAAAUGUGGCUACUACGGGCUUUGGAUCCUUGCAUGAUUUUUUGUCCUUUUCAUUUCAUUUGUUUGCAUCGCCAAACCUACCACUGUACUUGGGGUUACCGAUAUGCUUGUGGGCAUACUAUCUGUUUUGAUAGUAUUUUGGGCCAAAACGAAGUUGGUCAGUUGUGGAUUUAAUGUUGGUGAGCAAUUGGGGCUAAUAAUUGGCAACUCGUUAUGUCUAGUUCUUGUCGAAUUGUACUGAAAUCAAUAUGAGCAAGUGAUGGGAGGAAAUCCUAACCCCAUAACUUGUUAUGGUUGGUUGUCUAUGAAAGUAACCACCAUUUGGCUUAUUCAUUUGAUGUUUGUGAUUAUUAACUAAACAUUUAUUUUUCGUUCAUAUUCAUUUGAUGUUUGAUGACAAAAAUCUUGCAUUUGUGAAAUGUCACAUCUAUUCAUGUUUUUUGCAUAUGAUAUUCAUAGGUGAAAACAACAUUCAUGUUUUGAUGUUCAUGACAAAAACAUAGUUGUGUCUUCCUUUGCUUCUUCUUUGAUGUUGAGUGUGAAGGGCAAUAUGGAAAGGCUUUUUAGCCAAAAUUGUCCCUGAGAUGAGAUUUGCAUAACUCUUCAUGAUUGUUCUUGAAGCAGUCAACUUGAUAGUGAUCUGACUUACUGUGCCACCCUAUUUUCCUUAUUACGUGGCUCAAAUACGACCUAUUAUUAACUUCACGGUUCUUUAUCAUAACCUAUGCUUCUUUCUGUUUCUGUCAAGUAAUGUGAGGUAAACGAAAACCAUAUGAUAUAGGCUUCGUGAUGAAAUCGAUGGCAGUAAUUUCUCUGAUGAGAUUUGAAAUUGAAUUGGGCAUGAACGAACUCAGGUUGAUCUAACCAAAUUGCACCUCAAGUAUGCAAAAUGCAAGGGCUUGCAAGCCAGGGCCUUUUUACUUGGAAUGGUAUGGGCCUGAAGAUUUAACUUGUAAACAGUUAUUGGUCCUCACCUUUAGGUGGAUAGUACUGAUUUGUGACUCAAGUAGUUCGGGAUUUGCCCCGUGUUCGAUCAUCCCUAUUUCCAACUGAUAUGACUUGUAUAAACAAAUGUAGUAACAGUCAAAUUAGUUGGAACAUGAUGCUUUCGUUUUAUAUACCUAAGUUCGAAUU